rnacentral:lncRNA from 10 species
UUGCCUGAAGUCACACGGCUACAAAGUGAGACUUCAGCCAACUUCUGAAGCAGUUAAUUGGCUUUCCUGGCUGGAACCGCAACGCCAUUGCAGGCAAGUGUCUUGGAGCUCCAGACAGGCCCGUGAACAGGGUGGCAAGAAGUCUAGGAGAACAUGAAUCAGCCCCGCAUGGACACCCGUGGCAUUUAAGCCCGAAAGGAAACUUGACUGGUAGCCGAAGUCAGCAAUGGAUGCCAAGCAGGCUGUGCCAUGUUGGGGGACUGAGGGGUGGGGACCGGCUCCUGAGCAUGGCUGGUGGCCACGGAGGCCCCACCUUGUGAGGCCACUAUGUCCCCUUUGGCCCUACACAUCAGACUCCACCCUUCCCAGCAGACUCUCUGACCCUUUCAGCUCUGACCACAAAGGGUGGAACUUAAUGAGCUGGGAACCCAAUUUCUCACUGGUUUUGGUAAAUUAAAAGCGAUAAAAUGAGUAAUCCAUUAAAGUCAUCAUUUUUCCUAACUGAAAAAAAAAAGUAUGACAACUCUGUUGAGACUUGACCUCUUUGAAAUAAAGGCUGUUACUUUCUGGGAGCUUUUUUUUUUUUUUUUUUUUUUUGAGACAAGGUCUUGCUCUGUCACCCAGGCUGGAGUGCAGUGGUGUGAUCACAGCUCACUGCAGCCUUGACUUCCUGGGCAUAGGUGACCCUCCUGCCUCAGCCUCUCAAGUAGCUGUGACUACAGGUGUGCGCUACCAUGCUCAGCUAAUUUUUGUAUUUUUUGUAGAGACAGGGUUUCGCCAUGUUGCCCAAGCUGUUCUCGAACUCCUGAACUCAAGCCAUUCACCCGCCUUGGCCUCCCAAAGUGCUGGGAUUAUAGGCGUGAACCACCAUGCCUGGCAUCUGGCAGGUAUUCUGAGAUUUAAAUCUUUAGAUACUGCAGUUUACUCAUUGUCCUUUGUUGUCAUGGAGUUUAUAGAAAAGGCUAUUUAGGAACUAAUGCUGUCUUAAUUAUUUUCUCUGUCUCUCCUCUGCCUCUUCGAAUGUACAUGUGUAGGUGUAUGUGUGUGUAUAUGUACGUGUUUCUUUUUAUACUUGGCUUUUUGUAGCCAUCAUUUUUUAUCUUUUAGAAUGCCCCCACCACACAUUCAGCAUAGAUUUGCUUUUCAGAAUUUUGAACAUUGAGAAUUCUUUGAAUAUUUUCUAAUACCUGAACAUUUACCUUUAUAUGUCUGCAGCCUGUGGACAGGUGUGUAGAAUAGCAGACUGUCAGACUUGGGAGGACCAUGAGGCUAUUGACUUGGACCUUCCAUCUCAUCAAGCAGGAAUUCUCCCAAGGAACCACCGCCCUGACCUAUCCCAGGGGUCAGGCCUGCCUAAACCAGGCUUGAGUUUUGUAUAUAUUGCUCAGCUCAGUUGUAGAGCUCAGGUGUGAUAACUCUGCCUAAGAGGGGAUGAGGAGGAGGGCUAAAUGGAGGGAAAAGUGGUACAGGAGAGAAAAUAGAGAGAAAGGGACAUUAUAAGGGUGGGACUGGGGUCAGAGGCUGGGAACUGGGGGCUGGGGGAGAUCUAUCAGAAGAGAGCAGGCUGCAGGGACGUCCUCCUGGGUUCCUGCUGUGUCAUGCGUCUGACCUUUUGUGUCUCUUUCUCAAACCCUGUUGAUGUGUCAGCCCACGAGAUGCUGGGGGUGUGGAGAGGACGAAGACCAGGGCAGAAUCUUUGGCCUAAAAAGCAGAGUUCCUGGAACAGUGUCGACAUUUUAAAAAUAUUAGCUAGCUUGAAGAGGAAUGCUGAACUCUCUCUCUCUCUAUUGUUCUCUCCUACUUAAUUUCAUAACUGAUCUCCUCUUAUUGAAACUGUAAGUGGAAAAAAAGAUGGUUUCACAGAGAUCCUCAUUAAAGAAAGUGUUGCCGUAAGUAAUCUAGUAAUGUAGGCGUUCUGCAGCACAACAUUCCUCCUGAGCUUAUCACUUUACACUGUGAGGCCAAGAUGUUAAAAAAAAAUACACACAUACACAGCAAACCCCUACUCCCAAACAUAAGAGUUUAGAUCUUGAGCAAUAAGACAUAGAUACUAUCACAAUAUUUUGCAAAUCUCAGAAACAUUGCCACAUUUUCCAUAGGGUUAACAUCUGAGAUGAAAAACUAAUUCAGAACUUAUGAUUCCUUUUAAAAAAAUUCCCUUAGCCAAACUGAAGAAAUUUACUCGGGAGAAGAAAAUGACUUAACUUGUAGUUUCCACAAUGAGAAACAUAUUCUCAUGGCUUUCAGCCACUUUCUAUCAUUAUGUGAUGGGCUUAAAUUGCAUUCACUGACAGUGAAUUAAAAGCAUGAAUGAAAUCUUUAAAUGAACAACUGAAAUAAAAUCAUGAUUUAAACAUCCUAGCACUUAAAAGUAAAAGAAACUUUUGCAUGGCUGUAGACAUAAUGAUCAAUACUGAGUCUUAAUCCCAAACCUGACAGCCCAUAUUUUUCAAACUGAGUGCCUCAAAUUCACAAUAAAAAAAAAUAGGCCUCUUAUUGCUGCAGUGAGAUAGGGCAGUGUAAUGCCUAUGAGUGUGUCUCUUCCUGUGUUGUAUCUGGCCUUGAGUCCACAGAAUCCCCCAACAUCAAAGGAAGCAGUAGGAGAUGGUGUGUGGAACACCAGAUAGCCGGAGGAAAGGGGAAACUCUUCCUUUGCCAAGAGGGAUUGCUAAAAUUAGAUGGUAAAGUAGUCUUGGCACUGGAAGUCGUCUUGCUGACGAUCAGCUUCAAUAGAUGAUAGAACUGUUGCUUAUUUGGAGACUUUCAAAGAGAGGGGCUUACACCCCAGGCAGGAACGUCUUACCAGGCUGAAGAGCUCUUUCUGUGUGGAGAUGCUUUCCUAGGUCUAUCUUAAAUUCUUCAUGCUGAUAUUCAACCCCACUUCCUCUUGCUUUGGAGCUUAGUGCAGAAGGGGCCUUGCCAGGCACUAUUCUUUUCCUGCAAACUUCCCAAGAUGAUUUUCAUAACUCAAGACCAUCAUCCUUCUCUCCCCAACACCCCCAAUCUGGGCGCUUCAUUUUGGCCUUUUCUGUGCAUUUGGGGUGCAUGUGGAAAGAAGGUUCUGCAAGAUGGGGUGGAAGGACCAGGACUGGGCUCUCACUUGGGCUGAGCGUAUGGUCACCUGGCACAUCCAGGGCCAUCUCUACUCUCCUCCCCCAUCUCCCUUGCCUCUGCCUUGCCCUGGUGACAUUAUCUAGACAUCUACCACUCAAAUGUAUGACUUGGGUAAGCAUUGCAUCUUCUAUGUUUCUCUUUUAAACUUUGAGACCAUCAGGAAAGGGUUGAGCCUGUCAAUAUUAAUAUCUUUGCUGCCCUCGUUUCCUCUCAAGAAAAUAUUUAGGGAAGCAAGAAGGGCUGGGAGAGGGGAUGAAGAGGAAAAGCAGGGGGCUUAGGAAAAGGGGACCUGAGCAGGGGCCACAGAGAUCAGCCCCAUUUUCCUGAGAACGUCCCUGUGGCUUCCUCAGAGGGACCACACAACGUCCAGAGACCACCGUGUGACUUUCAGAGAUAACAGCGACAGUUCCUGGCAACAUUUGCUCCCUCCCCCACCUCCAUCCUUCAUCCUCCUCCUCAGAGAAUUUUAUUUGGCUUUGGGCAACAUGAAAGUCAACUCCACAGAGUGCAGAGGGAGUCAGAGAGCCCAGUCCUCAUCUCAUCUGGUCAGCUUCUUUUUUCUUUUUUUCUUUUUCCUUUUUUUUGAGAUGGAGUCUUGCUCUGUCACCCAGGCUGUAGUGUAGUGGCCCAGUCUCGGCUCACUGCAAGCUCCGCCUCCCAGGUUCAC